rnacentral:rRNA from 1 species
GCCAGACUCCUACGGGAGGCAGCAGUGGGGGAUAUUGCACAAUGGGGGGAACCCUGAUGCAGCGACGCCGCGUGGGUGAAGGAGUAUUUCGGUAUGUAAAGCCCUAUCGGCAGGGAAGAAGCAAGACGGUACCUGACUAAGAAGCCCCGGCUAACUACGUGCCAGCAGCCGCGGUAAUACGUAGGGGGCAAGCGUUAUCCGGAUUUACUGGGUGUAAAGGGGGCGCAGACGGCGAUGCAAGCCAGGAGUGAAAGCCCGGGGCUCAACCCUGGGACUGCUCUGGAAACUGUAAAGCUGGAGUGCGGGAGGGGCAGGCGGAAUUCCUGGUGUAGCGGUGAAAUGCGUAGAUAUCAGGAGGAACACCGGCGGCGAAGGCGGCCUGCUGGACCGUAACUGACGUUGAGGCUCGAAAGCGUGGGGAGCAAACAGGAUUAGAUACCCUUGUAAC